UCCCCGGUAGCUCAGUCGGUAGAGCAGGCGGCUGUUAACCGCCUUGUCGAUGGUUCGAGUCCGUCCCGGGGAG
rnacentral:tRNA from 1 species